UUUAGGAUAAAGGAAGAACUUGUCUUCCUCACACAUAAUUUACUUUCUGUUUUUGCUUCUGUCUUUCCCAGGAUCCAAUGCUUCUUCUCUACUGGAAACUGUUUCUGGCAGCAUGUACGUGACCGUCUUCAGUGUUGAGUGGAAAAACGGAAAUAAAUAUAAGGCACAGUUCUUGGAUUCUCAGAACUUACGUUGAUUGGCAAAAGCUGCAAUUAAAUAUUUACAGAAAACAGGUAAGAAGGCAUACCAUAAAUCACAUCUAAUUUUAGUAUAGAAAUAACGACAGAAUUAAAGCUUGUGUUGUUGACUAAGGACCUGAUGCUAAACCCCUUACAGAAUUAAUUACAAGCAUCACAUUGAGUUAAGUAAAAAUUGUACUUCUGUAUGGUAUAAAUCUGUUUCUGAAAGGUGUAGCAAGAGUUCAAACAGUGAAACAGUGUAUUUGGUCAAAGUGGUAGACUAACAACAACAAAAAAUAUGUCCAUAUCUUAACCCCUGGAACCUGUGAAUAUGACCUUAUUUAGAAAAAAAGGUUCUUUGCACAUGUAAUUAAGUUAAGGAUUUUAAAAUGAGAUUAUCC
rnacentral:lncRNA from 12 species